GAAAAACCUGAGUGCAAAAUUGCAGGAUUGGGAUGCAGCAGCAUAUUGACCCAGGGACUCUGCAUAGCGUGUCAGAAGAAAUAUACCACAAUGGCUUGGAAGAACAAGGGGAUGAGUGGCAGGAUUCCCAGAGGCUGAAGUCAUCUACCAAGCUGCUCAUGAUUCUGCUGAAAUCCUCUCUCAAUUUAAGUUUAAAUAAGGAUGCAAGAGAGAAAACACAUUCUUCUCUGAGACUGGAGGGCCAGGACUGAAGUCCAGGAUCAAUGCCAAAAAGCACUGCUAAACCAAGAGAAAAGCAUACUGCUUUGUUUGACCAAGAGGAGAAGCCCAGAGAGCACAGACAGGAUGUGUACCAGUGGAAAAAGUGAACAGGACAUGUAUUUCACUGACAGUCCCUUUGAAAGAUUCUGACCAUUCUAUGAUUUCUUAAAGUCAGCUUUUGAAGUUACUACUGCAAUUGUCUCAACAGCUACUGUUUUUGGUUUAAACUGAAAACUAGAAUCCCUGGUUGUAAUGUAUUUGUAUUAAGUUUGUGAGUUCUUCUGAGGCAGAGAACUUGUUUUCUAUCUUAGGGGUUCUUAAACAUCCAUAGAGCGGGUCACACUUUAAUAGUUUGUCUCACGGUCCAUGUCUUCUCUAGUCAUGUCUGCAUAGGCCACCUUCCUUCACACUAGUAAUCAUAUAACAUCCCUCUGGCAACCACAGCAAUUCCUUCCCUUGAACAGGAAUAUUAAGCGAGUAAUAUUUGGAGCUGUUUUUAUUGAGAGUCACCAGCUGGAAAUGGAGAGCCAGCAUUGACCAGUCAGCUCCCCCUGGAUCACCAGCAAGCCAUCUACUUUGUGUACUUAAUAAUGAAAAAAGAUUACAGAGCACUAUAAUGGGAACCAGACUCAGUAUUAGCUAUGCUAUACAAAGCCAUUAAGCUAUAUUGUUAGCACAACAUAAAGCUCAAACAAUGUAUUAACGAUGCUCAAAUCAAGUAGAAAACACAUCUGCAAA